GACGAACGCUGGCGGCGUGCUUAACACAUGCAAGUCGAACGGAACUGCUCCAGCUUGCUGGGGUACACGAGUGGCGAACGGGUGAGUAAGGCGGAGGUGACAUGCCCUGCACUUGAACCUGCCCCUGGGAAGGGAAUAACAAUGCGAAACCGGAGCUCAUCCCGCGGGUGUGGUAAAGUGGCAUCACAUUAAUACCAAAGAUUUUAUCGGUGAAAGAUGGCCUCGCGCCUGAUUAGCUAGUAGGUGAGGUAACGGCUCACCUAGGUGAUGAUCAGUAGCCGGACUGAGAGGUUGAUCGGCCGCAUUGGGACUGAGACACGGCCCAGACUCCUACGGGAGGCAGCAGUGGGGAAUAUUGGGCAAUGGGCGCAAGCCUGACCCAGCAACGCCGCGUGAAGGAAGACGGUCUUCUGAUUGUAAACUUCUUUAGACAGGGACGAAACAAAUGACGGUACCUGUAGAAUAAGCCACGGCUAACUACGUGCCAGCAGCCGCGGGAAUACCUAGGUGGUGAGCGUUAUCCGGAAUUACUGGGGUGUAAAGGGCGUGUAGGCGGCUCUGUAAGUUCUUAAUGUGAGAAUCUUUCU
rnacentral:rRNA from 1 species